AACGAACGCUGGCGGCGUGCCUAAUACAUGCAAGUCGAACGAGAAAGUCCUUCGGGAUGAGUAGAGUGGCGCACGGGUGAGUAAUGCAUGAGAACGUGCCUUUUGGCUGGGGAUAACCACGGGAAACUGUGGCUAAUACCGAAUAGUCUCGAGAGAGUAAAGAUGGCCUCUAUUUAUAAGCUAUCACCAGAAGAUCGGCUCAUGUCCCAUUAGCUAGUUGGUAGGGUAAUGGCCUACCAAGGCGACGAUGGGUAACUGGUCUGAGAGGAUGAUCAGUCAGACUGGAACUGAGACACGGUCCAGACUCCUACGGGAGGCAGCAGUAGGGAGUAUUGCACAAUGGAGGAAACUCUGAUGCAGCAACGCCGCGUGGGUGAAGAAGGCUCUUGGGUCGUAAAGCCCUUUCGGCCGGGAAGAAGGGGGUGUUGGCUAAUAUCCAACAUCUUUGACGGUACCGGAAGAAGAAGCACCGGCUAAUUUCGUGCCAGCCGCCGCCGUAA
rnacentral:rRNA from 1 species